UUAUAGGAGUGGGGUGGGGUUAACCUGAGCUGGGGUGGAGUUCAGUGAGGUAGCACUAAGGGAUUGGAGGAUCCUGUGACAUCACUAGGCGGUGCUUGUGACAUCACUGGUUACUCACAGGUAGCCAGUAUCAGAUUACUUUGGCGGGAAGAGGCAUGAUGGGAUGAAGGCUGUCCCUCCUAAGAGAAGCCAUAUUUAACAUGGAGGCUGCUAUUCCGUGUGGCAGCCAUCUUAAGGCACAGAAUAUUAUGGGAAGGAGGUUACCGUUUUAUGUAGCAGCCAUCUUGAGCCAAGGGAAAUUUAACAGACGUGACAGGGCAAAGAAGUUUUAUAGAGCAAAAUCAUGAGGAACUUCUGGACCUCCUAUGAUCCAGCAACUAAAGGUUGGGUCCUGACUUAUCAGAAUCUCCAACAUGAACUGAUUUGUCACAACCUUGUCAUACCAGUUGCUGGGAUUUUUUGAAAAGUGCAUUUGCAGAUGUGGUGCUUUCGAACCAAUUGCUCUGGCAGCCAUGUACAAGGUGUUAGAGAAGACCCUAGAACCAAGGAAUUCAGCAACAAAUUUGUUCCUAUAAUCAGGAAGUCAGGUGAAAAUAUAAAAGAGGAGCAGCACUUCCUUUAGACAUUAAACCAUUGGUUGAGGAUACCACACAGCAGAUAGGCUGAACUCUGAAUGCAUUCCAGAUAUAGAGAUCAGAUUCUUCUUGAAUAAAAGGACACAUGGUCCUCUGCCUCCAUCUUAUUUCACAAAACACCACCCUGUUCAAGCUAAUGCUUGGCCUAAUCAAGCC